rnacentral:rRNA from 1 species
CUACGAGCGGCUGCAGUGGGGAAUAUUGCACAAUGGGCGCAAGCCUGAUGCAGCCAUGCCGCGUGUAUGAAGAAGGCCUUCGGGUUGUAAAGUACUUUCAGCGGGGAGGAAGGGAGUAAAGUUAAUACCUUUGCUCAUUGACGUUACCCGCAGAAGAAGCACCGGCUAACUCCGUGCCAGCAGCCGCGGUAAUACGGAGGGUGCAAGCGUUAAUCGGAAUUACUGGGCGUAAAGCGCACGCAGGCGGUUUGUUAAGUCAGAUGUGAAAUCCCCGGGCUCAACCUGGGAACUGCAUCUGAUACUGGCAAGCUUGAGUCUCGUAGAGGGGGGUAGAAUUCCAGGUGUAGCGGUGAAAUGCGUAGAGAUCUGGAGGAAUACCGGUGGCGAAGGCGGCCCCCCGGACGAAGACUGACGCUCAGGUGCGAAAGCGUGGGGAGCAAACAGGAUUAGAUACCCCCGUAGUC